rnacentral:rRNA from 1 species
AAAGGCGGACUAAUACCGCAUGUUAUAGCCUUCCAUAAGGAGGGUUAUCAAAGCCGCAAGGCGCUCGAGGAGGGGCUUGUGUCCGAUUAGCUAGUUGGUGGGGUAAUAGCCUACCAAGGCUGUGAUCGGUAGCUGGUCUGAGAGGAUGGUCAGCCACACUGGGACUGAGAUACGGCCUAGACUCCUACGGGAGGCAGCAGCAAGGAAUUUUGCGCAAUGGGCGAAAGCCUGACGCAGCAACGCCGCGUGAGGGAUGAAGGCCUUCGGGUUGUAAACCUCUUUUCUCAGGGACGAAUGAUGACGGUACCUGAGGAAUAAGCUUCGGCUAACUACGUGCCAGCAGCCGCGGUAAUACGUAGGAAGCAAGCGUUAUCCGGAUUUACUGGGCGUAAAGUGAGCGUAGGUGGUUUUUACAAGUCGGAUGUGAAAUCUCUCGGCUUAACUGGGAGGGGUCAUCCGAUACUGUUGAACUAGAGGACAGCAGGGGAAGGUGGAAUUUCCGGUGUAGUGGUGAAAUGCGUAGAUAUCGGGAGGAACACCAGUGGCGAAGGCGGCCUUCCAGGUUGUUUCUGACACUGAGGCUCGAAAGUGUGGGGAGCGAACAGAAUUAGAUACUCUGGUAGUCCACACCGUAAACUAUGGACACUAGGUAUAGGGAGUUUCGACCCUCUCUGUGCCGAAGCUAACGCUUUAAGUGUCCCGCCUGGGGACUACGGCCGCAAGGUUAAAACUCAA